rnacentral:rRNA from 1 species
UACGGAGGGGGCUAGCGUUGUUCGGAAUUACUGGGCGUAAAGCGCACGUAGGCGGCGAUUUAAGUCAGAGGUGAAAGCCCGGGGCUCAACCCCGGAAUAGCCUUUGAGACUGGAUUGCUAGAAUCUUGGAGAGGCGAGUGGAAUUCCGAGUGUAGAGGUGAAAUUCGUAGAUAUUCGGAAGAACACCAGUGGCGAAAGGCGGCUCACUGGCCCGAUACUGACGCUGAGGCACGAAAGCGUGGGGAGCAAACAGG